rnacentral:rRNA from 1 species
GAAAGAUGAAAAGCACUUUGGAAAGAGAGUUAAACAGUACGUGAAAUUGCUGAAAGGGAAACGCUUGAAGUCAGUCGCGUUGUAUGGAACUCAGCCUCGCUUUUGCGUGGUGCACUUUCUGUACGACGGGCCAGCAUCGAUUUUGACCGUCGGAUAAGGUUGAGGGAAUGUGGCACUUCGGGUGUGUUAUAGCCUUCAAUCGCAUACGACGGUUGGGAUCGAGGAACGCA